UGGGGGAUAUUGCACAAUGGGGGAAACCCUGAUGCAGCAACGCCGCGUGAAGGAAGACGGUUUUCGGAUUGUAAACUUCUGUUCUUAGUGACGAUAAUGACGGUAGCUAAGGAGAAAGCUCCGGCUAACUACGUGCCAGCAGCCGCGGUAAUACGUAGGGAGCGAGCGUUGUCCGGAAUUACUGGGUGUAAAGGGAGCGUAGGCGGGAGAUCAAGUCAGAUGUGAAAACUAUGGGCUCAACCCAUAACCUGCAUUUGAAACUGUUCUUCUUGAGUGAAGUAGAGGCAGGCGGAAUUCCGAGUGUAGCGGUGAAAUGCGUAGAUAUUCGGAGGAACACCAGUGGCGAAGGCGGCCUGCUGGGCUUUUACUGACGCUGAGGCUCGAAAGCAUGGGGAGCAAACAGGAUUAGAUACCCUGGUAGUCCAUGCCGUAAACGAUGAUUACUAGGUGUGGGGUGGCUGACCCAUUCCGUGCCGGAGUUAACACAAUAAGUAAUCCACCUGAGUAGUACGGCCGCAAGGUUGAAACUCAAAGGAAUUGACGGGGGCCCGCACAAGCAGUGGAGUAUGUGGUUUAAUUCGAAGCAACGCGAAGAACCUUACCAGGUCUUGACAUCCGACUAACGAAGUAGAGAUACAUUAGGUGCCCUUCGGGGAAAGUCGAGACAGGUGGUGCAUGGUUGUCGUCAGCUCGUGUCGUGAGAUGUUGGGUUAAGUCCCGCAACGAGCGCAACCCUUAUUCUUAGUAGCCAGCAGGGAAAGCUGGGCACUCUAAGGAGACUGCCGGGGAUAACCCGGAGGAAGGUGGGGAUGACGUCAAAUCAUCAUGCCCCUUAUGAUCUGGGCUACACACGUGCUACAAUGGCGUAACAAAGGGAAGCGAGCCUGCGAGGGUGAGCAAAUCCCAAAAAUAACGUCCCAGUUCGGACUGUAGUCUGCAACCCGACUACACGAAGCUGGAAUCGCUAGUAAUCGCGAAUCAGAAUGUCGCGGUGAAUACGUUCCC
rnacentral:rRNA from 1 species